rnacentral:rRNA from 1 species
AUUGAACGCUGGCGGCAUGCCUUACACAUGCAAGUCGAACGGCAGCGCGGGGGCAACCCUGGCGGCGAGUGGCGAACGGGUGAGUAAUAUAUCGGAACGUACCCAAGAGUGGGGGAUAACGUAGCGAAAGUUACGCUAAUACCGCAUACGAUCUAAGGAUGAAAGCAGGGGACCGCAAGGCCUUGUGCUCCUGGAGCGGCCGAUAUCUGAUUAGCUAGUUGGUGGGGUAAAGGCCUACCAAGGCAUCGAUCAGUAGCUGGUCUGAGAGGACGACCAGCCACACUGGGACUGAGACACGGCCCAGACUCCUACGGGAGGCAGCAGUGGGAAUUUUGGACAAUGGGGGCAACCCUGAUCCAGCCAUGCCGCGUGUGUGAAG